rnacentral:rRNA from 1 species
CCAAUCGAACCCGGAGAUAGCUGGUUCUCCUCGAAAUAGCUUUAGGGCUAGCCUCAUGGAUCAUUGAUGGGGGUAGAGCACUGAAUGUGCGCGGGGGCCACAAAGCCUACCAAACGCUAUCAAACUUCGAAUACCAUACAAUGUAGACCAUGGGAGUCAGUCCGCGAGAGAUAAGUUCCGCGGGCAAAAGGGGAACACCCCAGAUCAACCGCUAAGGUCCCCAAGUUCACGUUAAGUGGAGAAGGAUGUGGAAUUGCACAGACAACCAGGAUGUUGGCUCAGAAGCAGCCACACAUUUAAAGAGUGCGUAAUAGCUCACUGGUCGAGUGAUUGUGCGCCGAAGAUGUCCGGGGCUAAACGUGACACCGAAGCGAUGGGUGCAUCUGAAAGGAUGCGCGGUAGAGGAGCAAUGUGCAGAGGCAGAAGCCGUAUCGAGAGGCACGGUGGACACUGCACAAGAGAGAAUGCCGGUAUGAGUAGCGAGAGGCAUGCGAGAAACAUGCCCGUCGAAAGCCCAAGGUUUCCUGGGGAAGGUUCAUCCGCCCAGGGUAAGUCGGGGCCUAAGCCGAGGACGGAAGUCGUAGGCGAUGGACAGCAGGUGUAGAUUCCUGCACUACCGAUGGAAUGAAGCAGUGACACAGAAGGAUAACUCGAGCAGGGUGAUGGUCAACCCUGUGCAAGCAUCGAGGUUGGGUUGUAGUGAAGUACGCAACCCUAUAAGCUGAGGUGUGAUGCGGACCGAAAUUUCAGUAGGGAAGCGAGUGAGUUCACGCUGGCGAGAAAAGCUGCUAGUAUAUCCAAAGGUACCCGUACCGGAAACCGACGCAGGUGGGCGAGGAGAGAAUCCUGAGACGAACGGGAGAACCCUUGUUAAGGAACUCGGCAAAAUGACCCCGUAACUUCGGGAUAAGGGGUGCCUGCGAGAGCAGGCCGCAGAGAAUAGUCACAAGCGACUGUUUAGCAAAAACACAGGUAUCUGCGAAAGCGAGAGCUGACGUAUAGGUGCUGACACCUGCCCGGUGCUGGAAGGUUAAGGGAACAUGUUAGAGCAAUCGAAGCAUCGAACCGAAGCCCCAGUAAACGGCGGCCGUAACUAUAACGGUCCUAAGGUAGCGAAAUUCCUUGUCGGGUAAGUUCCGACCCGCACGAAUGGUGUAACGACUUGUGAGCUGUCUCAACAGGGGGCCCGGUGAAAUUGAAGUAUGGGUGAAGAUGCCCAUUACCCGCGACUGGACGGAAAGACCCCGUAGAGCUUUACUGCAGCCUGAUAUUGAGUUUCGGUAACUGAUGCACAGGAUAGGUGGGAGUCUGAGAGACAUGGGUUUCGGCUCGUGUGGAGACGAUGUUGGGAUACCACUCUUCGGUUACUGAAAUUCUAACAUAGCUCUGUGAAACCAGAGGAUGGACAGUGUCAGGUGGACAGUUUGACUGGGGCGGUCGCCUCCGAAAGAGUAACGGAGGCGCCCAAAGGUACCCUCAGAAUGGAUGGAAACCAUUCGAAGAGCGCAAAGGCAGAAGGGUGCCUGACUGCGAGAUUGACAAAUCGAGCAGAGACGAAAGUCGGGCUUAGUGAUCCGGCGGUAUUGAGUGGAAAAGCCGUCGCUUAACGGAUAAAAGCUACCUCGGGGAUAACAGGCUGAUCUCCCCCAAGAGUCCACAUCGACGGGGAGGUUUGGCAC